rnacentral:rRNA from 1 species
GACGAACGCUGGCGGCGUGCUUAACACAUGCAAGUCGAGCGGUAAGGCCCUUUCGGGGGUACGACGAGCGGCGAACGGGUGAGUAACACGUGGGUGACCUGCCCUCAGCCCUGGGAUAAGCCUGGGAAACCGGGUCUAAUACUGGAUAUGACUCCAUGACGCAUGUUGUGGGGUGGAAAGCCUUGUGCGGCUGAGGAUGGGCCCGCGGCCUAUCAGCUUGUUGGUGGGGUGAUGGCCUACCAAGGCGACGACGGGUAGCCGGCCUGAGAGGGCGACCGGCCACACUGGGACUGAGACACGGCCCAGACUCCUACGGGAGGCAGCAGUGGGGAAUCUUGCGCAAUGGGCGAAAGCCUGACGCAGCGACGCCGCGUGAGGGAUGACGGCCUGGUGUAAC